rnacentral:rRNA from 1 species
UGCCAGCAGCCGCGGUAAUACGGAGGGUGCAAGCGUUGUUCGGAAUUAUUGGGCGUAAAGGGCGCGUAGGCGGUCUUAUCGGUCAGAUGUGAAAGCCCGGGGCUCAACCCCGGACGUGCAUUUGAAACAGUAAGACUUGAGUACGGGAGAGGAAAGCGGAAUUCCUGGUGUAGAGGUGAAAUUCGUAGAUAUCAGGAGGAACACCGAUGGCGAAGGCAGCUUUCUGGACCGAUACUGACGCUGAGGCGCGAAGGCGUGGGUAGCGAACGGGAUUAGAUA